CAACGCCGCGUGGAGGAUGUAAAUCCCGUUGGGAAUGUAAACUCCUUUCGAUCGGGAAGAUAAUGACGGUACCGAGAAGAAGAAGCCCCGGCUAACUUCGUGC
rnacentral:rRNA from 1 species